rnacentral:rRNA from 1 species
UACGUAGGUGACCAGCGUUGUCCGGAUUUACUGGGCGUAAAGAGCGCGCAGGCGGUCGUUCAAGUCGAGUGUGAAAGCCCCCGGCUCAACUGGGGAGGGUCAUUCGAUACUGAUCGACUUGAAGGCAGGAGAGGGAAGCGGAAUUCCCGGUGUAGUGGUGAAAUGCGUAGAUAUCGGGAGGAACACCAAUGGCGAAGGCAGCUCGCUGGGACGUUACUGACGCUGAGACGCGAAAGCGUGGGGAGCAAACAGG